ACGCGUUUGUCCAAGACCUUGCUCACCAAGUUUGGCAUCAACAAGGAACGAGUGGAGGCCCAAGCGCAUGCCUUCAAGACCACGGAGUCUUGUGUUGUCAAGGUAUGUUGCUGGAUGACUGUGAGGUGCUACCAGUAGGGCAAGCUUUGUCAUUGCAUUGUGUGAUGCAUGGCAUAUAGGGUUACAGGGUUACAGAAAGGAAGGCCUUCAGUCAAAACGUGCGACUGCUAGCCUGCUCAUGCGUGAUGCAUGGCAUACAGGGUUACAGGGUUACAGAAAGGAAGGCCUUCAGUCAAAACGUGCGACUGCUAGCCUGCUCAUGCGUGAUGCAUUGCAUACACUUGGGCGGUGGAGCCCCUCGCAGAUUUUACUUCCUCGUUGUUUUCAAGGCAUGGCGUUAGAUUUGGUACGCAGCCUGACUUACACGCUUCACCCGACGAUCAAGUUCAGCCUGGUUGUUGAGCACCAACGACACGCCUGAAAGGCCAUCCUGGAGGUCGUUCACCAUGAAGGCCAUGGAGCUGUGUGCUAUCAAGAAACGUUGCAAGAUGACUGAUUCUGUGAAUGAGCGGCACACUUUGAUGCAUGUGGUGUCUUUGCACUUCCGCCUUUGAAUUCAGACCUCAUGCAAUGCUUCUCACAUUCCUUGCCAUGCACUCAAGCCGUGCCAUGCACUCAAGCCGUGUCAUGCACUCAAGCCGUGCCAUGCACUCAAUUCCUUGCCAUGUACUCAAGCCAUGCCAUGCACUCCAAAAGCAAGUAAGGCCAUUUGUCAGCAUUAAUGCGCAGUGCAUCUCACACAUUGAAUCCAGGCCAAGGCCAAUCAUUCAAGGAAUCGACCAACGAAGGCCCAAGUGUAGCCAACAAAGGCUCAACCACGGCCAAUCACUUACGAGGCACCAGUCUCAAGCUGUGCCAAUGAAGGCGCAAGUAUGGCCAAUCAUGGCCCAUUUACAUGCUUUGUUGGCGGCAGGAGCCGCAAAGGCCCAGACCUGCGCCUUGACAUUCAAGCCUUUGUGGCGACGGCGAAGGCGCGCCAAAGCUUGGAGGCUUGCACCUUCAUAACAAUGUCUCUGUGGCAUCAAGGCUCGCAAAGGCUCAAGUUGGUGCCUUCACAACAACCUGCUUGCUCUGCUUGUCUCCUUUUUUGCAGGUGCCAUGAUAACCACAUAGAGUAUGCAGAGCAGAGCCACAGAACAAGCUGAAGGAGAAAUGAGAUACGACACAGAAGUGCAAUUCGGAUCAUGGCUCAGUGGCAUCUGAUUUGCUAAAGAAGGCACACAUUUCUUAUUUAGUACUUUAAUUACAUUAAGACAGGUUGAUUUUAAGAAGAUUGGGGAAUGUUUAGCAUAUUGUUAUAUUGGUUUAACAGCCGUUACAUUAAUAUGUUAAGCAGCAAGGUUAAAAUAAACCUGAAUGUUUGUUUUAACCGCUAUAGAAAAAAUCGUCUAGGAAAAAACCUUCCUGAUUUGCUAAUGAAGGCAUGUACCUGCCUCGAACACUUCAACCUUAUGAUGCAGGUGGUUGGGCAUUGUCCAACAUAAAGGCACAGAAUGGAUACAAUAUUGUGAUGGCCUGACAGGCAGGAAGCAGGAGGUUGGGCACAUAAAACAAGCAUAAAGGCGCAGAAAGAACAUGAAGGCGCAGGCCAAACAUUAUGGAACUGGCCCAACAUUUGUGAGCACACACGCAAAUGGUUGGCACAGGCCAGACAUAUUUGUUGUUGUCAUCUCAUUCGUAAACACAAGUGCAUACGACCUGUAAGGCUCAGCUUUGAUGUUGGCCAAACCUCUGUGAUGUAGGUGGUGGGGCACAGGCCAAACAUCUCUGAAGCGGACUUGAUGGCGGUGGUCAAGCGCGUGGAGGAGAUGGAGGCAUCGGUAGGUACUCUAGUUUGAGGAUUACCUUUCAUAGGUCGGGCAUGCACGCAUCUAUGCUGUCUGUCAGCCAUCUUAUGGCCUUGUUCCAUCUUCACUUCUGUUGUCAUGCCAGAUCCCCCCUAGCCUCCUCUUUGUUCCUGCCUUACUGGUAAAGGAGACUUACAGCUUUUCCAGCUGGUGUAUCCUAAUCAUUGAUGACGGAAGAGUUUCUGUGCUCCUGUGAAGUUCCUUCCUUUUUACAAGGAUUGAAGGUGACUUCCUCACUUGUCAAAAUUCCCCACCAGAAUGAGGAGCAGCUCAGACCAAGCAGCAAGGGUAUUAGAUGAUCAAGAUGGCACCGAGGCUCCUAUUGUGUUGUCUGGAAUGUCCAUGACUAGGAAAAAGGAGAAAGAUGCACAAUCAGAAGGAAGGGAUUGCGCCUCCUCCUAUGACCUGAAUGUCCAUGCAGGCGAUUGGAUUAAAGGAGAGUGAAACACAAGUUUCUAGCUUGCUUGUUUUCCUUCUUACCAGGCUUGCACAACGUCAGGGGAAGGGACAAGCCAUGUUUUGGGGCAUCCUUGAAAAAAAAACUAGCCCUCAUUUGCUAACGAGGAAUGGGAAAGGAAGGGCAAUCAAUGAGCCACCUGUUGCGAUGAGCCACCUGUGCGAUGAGCCACCUGUGUGAUGAACCACCUGUACAAUAAGCCACCUGUGCGAUGAGCCACCUGUGUGAUGAACCACCUGUACAAUAAGCCACCUGUGCGAUGAGCCACCUGUGCGAUGAGCCACCUGUGCAAUGAGCCACCUGUGCAAUGAGCCACCUGUGCGAUGAGCCACCUGUGCGAUGGGCCACCUGUGCAAUGAGCCACCUGUGCGAUGAGCCACCUGUGCUCCUAUAACUGCGAUUUGCCUCUCGGGAAACAUUGCUCUGGUGAGAAUGAAAAUCAGGCCAUAGGAGGAAGGCCAUUUACUGGAGGAGAAGCAGAAUGACGGACGCAAUCAUACAAGCAGAGCAGCACGACGUACCGUUUUGCUAGCCAUUGUUGUUUGAUUUCUUUGCCCACAUGCCCACAUCUCGUCAUGCCACUGCUAUAUGACGCUAUGUGACUGAUAUGCAGGGCCAAAUCGGGCCUUGGCAAGGAGACCUGGAAGUGCCAGACGCACUCAUGCAAAA
rnacentral:lncRNA from 1 species